GAUGAACGCUAGCGGCAGGCCUAAUACAUGCAAGUCGGACGGGAUCCAUUGAUAGCUUGCUAUCAAUGGUGAGAGUGGCGCACGGGUGCGUAACGCGUGAGCAACCUGCCUCCAUCAGGGGGAUAGCCUCUCGAAAGAGAGAUUAACACCGCAUAAUAUCAACAGUUCGCAUGUUCAGUUGAUUAAAUAUUUAUAGGAUGGAGAUGGGCUCGCGUGACAUUAGCUAGUUGGUAGGGUAACGGCUUACCAAGGCGACGAUGUCUAGGGGCUCUGAGAGGAGAAUCCCCCACACGGGUACUGAGACACGGACCAGACUCCUACGGGAGGCAGCAGUAAGGAAUAUUGGUCAAUGGGCGGAAGCCUGAACCAGCCAUGCCGCGUGCAGGAUGACUGCCCUAUGGGUUGUAAACUGCUUUUGUCCAGGAAUAAACCUAAAUACGAGUAUUUAGCUGAAUGUACUGGAAGAAUAAGGAUCGGCUAACUCCGUG
rnacentral:rRNA from 1 species